UGGGGAAUUUUCCGCAAUGGGCGGAAGCCUGACGGAGCAACGCCGCGUGAGGGAGGAAGGCUUUUGGGUUGUAAACCUCUUUUCUCAAGGAAGAUAGUGACGGUACUUGAGGAAUCAGCAUCGGCUGACUCCGUGCCAGCAGCCGCGGUAAUACGGAGGAUGCAAGCGUUAUCCGGAAUAAUUGGGCGUAAAGCGUCCGCAGGCGGCCGUUCAAGUCUGCUGUCAAAGCCCGCAGCUCAACUGUGGAUGGGCAGUGGAAACUGAAUGGCUAGAGCGUGGUAGGGGUAGAGGGAAUUCCUAGUGUAGCGGUGAAAUGCGUAGAUAUUAGGAAGAACACCAGUGGCGAAGGCGCUCUACUGGGCCACGACUGACGCUGAGGGACGAAAGCUAGGGGAGCGAAAGGGAUUAGAUACCCCUGUAGUCC
rnacentral:rRNA from 1 species